rnacentral:rRNA from 1 species
GACGAACGCUGGCGGCGUGCUUAACACAUGCAAGUCGAACGGAAAGGCCCUGCUUUUGUGGGGUGCUCGAGUGGCGAACGGGUGCGUAACACGUGAGUAACCUGCCCUUGACUUUGGGAUAACUUCAGGAAACUGGGGCUAAUACCGGAUAGGAGCUCCUGCUGCGUGGUGGGGGUUGGAAAGUUUCGGCGGUUGGGGAUGGACUCGCGGCUUAUCAGCUUGCUGGUGGGGUAGUGGCUUACCAAGGGUUUGACGGGUAGCCGGCCUGAGAGGGUGAACGGGCACAUUGGGACUGCGGUACGGCCCAGAGUCGUACGGGAGGCAGCAGUGGGGAAUAUUGCACAGUGGGAGGAAGCCUGAUGCAGCAACGCCGCGUGCGUGAUGACGGCCUUCGGGUUGUGAACCGCAUUCGCCUGUGACGAAGCGUGAGUGACGGUAAUGGGUAAAGAAGCACCGGCUAACUACGUG